GAUGAACGCUGGCGGCGUGCUUAACACAUGCAAGUCGAACGGUGAACACGGAGCUUGCUCUGUGGGAUCAGUGGCGAACGGGUGAGUAACACGUGAGCAACCUGCCCCUGACUCUGGGAUAAGCGCUGGAAACGGCGUCUAAUACUGGAUAUGUGACGUGACCGCAUGGUCUGCGUUUGGAAAGAUUUUUCGGUUGGGGAUGGGCUCGCGGCCUAUCAGCUUGUUGGUGAGGUAAUGGCUCACCAAGGCGUCGACGGGUAGCCGGCCUGAGAGGGUGACCGGCCACACUGGGAUUGAGACACGGCCCAGACUCCUACGGGAGGCAGCAGUGGGGAAUAGUGCACAAUGGGCGAAAGCCUGAUGCAGCAACGCCGCGUGAGGGAUGACGGCCUUCGGGUUGUAAACCUUUUUUAGCAGGGAAGAAGCGAAAGUGACGGUACCUGCAGAAAAAGCGCCGGCUAACUACGUG
rnacentral:rRNA from 1 species